AGUGAACGCUGGCGGUAGGCCUAACACAUGCAAGUCGAACGGCAGCACAGUAAGAGCUUGCUCUUACGGGUGGCGAGUGGCGGACGGGUGAGGAAUACAUCGGAAUCUACUUUUUCGUGGGGGAUAACGUAGGGAAACUUACGCUAAUACCGCAUACGACCUACGGGUGAAAGCAGGGGAUCUUCGGACCUUGCGCGAUUGAAUGAGCCGAUGUCGGAUUAGCUAGUUGGCGGGGUAAAGGCCCACCAAGGCGACGAUCCGUAGCUGGUCUGAGAGGAUGAUCAGCCACACUGGAACUGAGACGCGGUCCAGACUCCUACGGGAGGCAGCAGUGGGGAAUAUUGGACAAUGGGCGCAUGCCUGAUCCAGCCAUACCGCGUGGGUGAAGAAGGCCUUCGGGUUGUAAAGCCCUUUUGUUGGGAAAGAAAAGCAGCAGGUUAAUACCCCGCUGUUCUGACGGUACCCAAAGAAUAAGCACCGGCUAACUUCGUG
rnacentral:rRNA from 1 species